rnacentral:rRNA from 1 species
UACGAAGGGGGCUAGCGUUGCUCGGAAUGACUGGGCGUAAAGGGCGCGUAGGCGGCUUGCACCGUCAGAUGUGAAAUUCCUGGGCUUAACCUGGGGGCUGCAUUUGAUACGUGUGGGCUUGAGUGCGGAAGAGGGUCGUGGAAUUCCCAGUGUAGAGGUGAAAUGCGUAGAUAUCUGGAGGAACACCGGUGGCGAAAGCGGCUCACUGGAUCGAAACUGACGCUGAGGUGCGAAAGCUAGGGUAGCAAACGGG